rnacentral:rRNA from 1 species
UGUCUGGGAAACUGCCUGAUGGAGGGGGAUAACUACUGGAAACGGUAGCUAAUACCGCAUAAUGUCGCAAGACCAAAGUGGGGGACCUUCGGGCCUCAUGCCAUCAGAUGUGCCCAGAUGGGAUUAGCUAGUAGGUGGGGUAAAUGGCUCACCUAGGCGACGAUCCCUAGCUGGUCUGAGAGGAUGAUCAGCCACACUGGAACUGAGACACGGUCCAG